AAAGGUUGACCUCGGAUCAGGUAGGAAUACCCGCUGAACUUAAGCAUAU
rnacentral:rRNA from 1 species